CAUGAAGAAUUGAAUUGUUGGCUCCAAUUUGAGGAAAAAAAAUGUCCAGCUUUUUUAGCUUAAAAAGAUGGUGUUUGCUUUAAAAAAAAAGUUCGUGACUAAUGAGAAUGCGUUAAUGAGUGAUGCUAAUCUCAACCACCAUGUAUUUAUCGGGUAGUUAACGAACUUACAUUGUGAUUCUAUAGAAAGGUCGUGGCUGUAGCAAUAGUUAACCAUCGCAUCACUCGCUGGAUAAUUAGUUCGUAGAUAGACGUAUGGGGGUUGCUGGUUUUAAUGGUCAAGAUACUCAAUUUUUCCCAGUGGUGUAAAGGAUGCAAGUGGAAUCAUUUACACAGCAACUGUUGUCUCUGUUACAAUCUCCCAAUGUGGAGUAUGCGAGAUGUUUCUCUUCAAAGCUCUAGGAAGAAACUAGAAUUGACGGGUGCUGGGGUUUUCUU